rnacentral:rRNA from 1 species
AUUGAACGCUGGCGGCAGGCCUAACACAUGCAAGUCGAGCGAGCGGCGGACGGGUGAGUAAUGUCUGGGAAACUGCCUGAUGGGGGGGGAUAACUACUGGAAACGGUAGCUAAUACCGCAUACCAUCAGAUGUGCCCCGGUGGGAUUAGCUAGUGGGUGGGGGAACGGCUCACCUAGGCGACGCUCCCUAGCUGGUCUGAGAGGAUGACCAGCCAAACUGGAACUGAGAAACGGUCCAGACUCCGACGGGAGGCAGCAGUGGGGAAUAUUGCACAAUGGGCGCAAGCCGUAUGCAGCCAUGCCGCGGGUGUGAAGAAGGCCUUCGGGUUGUAAAGCACUUUCAGCGGGGAGGCGUUACCCGCAGAAGAAGCACCGGCUAACUCCGUGCCAGCCGCCGCGGUAAUUC